UUCCGGUUGAUCCUGCCGGACCUGACUGCUAUCGGAUUGAUACUAAGCCAUGCGAGUCUUUGUAGUAAUACAAGGCAGACGGCUCAGUAACACGUAGUCAAUCUACCCUAUGGACGAGGAUAACCUCGGGAAACUGAGAAUAAUACUCGAUAGAUCAUUAUGCCUGGAAUGGUUUAUGGUCGAAAUGAUUUAUCGCCGUAGGAUGGGACUGCGGUCUAUCAGCUUGUUGGUGAGGUAAUGGCCCACCAAGGCUAUAACAGAUACGGGCUCUGAGAGGAGAAGCCCGGAGAUGGGUACUGAGACACGGACCCAGGCCCUAUGGGGCGCAGCAGGCGAGAAAACUUUGCAAUGUGCGAAAGCACGACAAGGUUAAUCCGAGUGUUUUCUGCUAAAGAAAUCUUUUGUCAGUCCUAAAAACACUGAUGAAUAAGGGGUGGGCAAGUUCUGGUGUCAGCCGCCGCGGUAAAACCAGCACCUCAAGUGGUCAGGAGGAUUAUUGGGCCUAAAGCAUCCGUAGCCGGCUCCGUAAGUUUUCGGUUAAAUCUAUAUGCUCAACGUAUAGGCUGCCGGGAAUACUGCAAAGCUAGGGAGUGGGAGAGGUAGACGGUACUCGGUAGGAAGGGGUAAAAUCCUUUGAUCUAUUGAUGACCACCUGUGGCGAAGGCGGUCUACUAGAACACGUCCGACGGUGAGGGAUGAAAGCUGGGGCAGCAAACCGGAUUAGAUACCCGGGUAGUCCCAGCUGUAAACUAUGCAAACUCAGUGAUGCACUGGCUUGUGGCCAGUGCAGUGCCGCAGGAAAGCCGUUAAGUUUGCCGCCUGGGAAGUACGUACGCAAGUAUGAAACUUAAAGGAAUUGGCGGGGGAGCACCACAAGGGGUGAAGCCUGCGGUUCAAUUGGAGUCAACGCCGGAA
rnacentral:rRNA from 1 species